UACGGAGGGUGCAAGCGUUAAUCGGAAUUACUGGGCGUAAAGCGCGCGUAGGCGGUUUGAUAAGUCAUAUGUGAAAGCCCCGGGCUCAACCUGGGAACUGCAUGUGAUACUGUCAGGCUAGAGUACGAGAGAGGGGGGUAGAAUUCCUAGUGUAGCGGUGAAAUGCGUAGAUAUUAGGAGGAAUACCAGUGGCGAAGGCGGCCCCCUGGCUCGAUACUGACGCUGAGGUGCGAAAGCGUGGGGAGCAAACAGG
rnacentral:rRNA from 1 species